rnacentral:rRNA from 1 species
UACGUAGGGUGCAAGCGUUGUCCGGAAUUAUUGGGCGUAAAGAGCUUGUAGGUGGUUUGUCGCGUCGAAUGUGAAAACCCGGGGCUCAACCCCGGGCCUGCAUUCGAUACGGGCAGACUAGAGUUCGGUAGGGGAGUCUGGAAUUCCUGGUGUAGCGGUGAAAUGCGCAGAUAUCAGGAGGAACACCGGUGGCGAAGGCGGGACUCUGGGCCGAUACUGACGCUGAGGAGCGAAAGCGUGGGGAGCAAACAGG